rnacentral:rRNA from 1 species
GAUGAACGCUAGCGACAGGCUUAACACAUGCAAGUCGAGGGGCAGCGAGGUGGUAGCAAUACCGCUGUCGGCGACCGGCGCACUGGUGAGUAACACGUAUGCGACCUGCCCCCUACAGGGGUAUAACCCGUAGAAAUGCGGACUAAUCCCCCAUAGUCCCGCGGGCUGCAUGGCCUGCGGGGGAAAGGCCAGCCGGUAGGGGAUGGGCAUGCGGCGCAUUAGCUAGUUGGCGGGGCAACGGCCCACCAAGGCGACGAUCAGUAGGGGUUCUGAGAGGAAGGUCCCCCCACAUUGGAACUGAGACACGGUCCAAAACUCCUACGGGAGGCAGCAGUGAGGAAUAUUGGUCAAUGGACGGGAGUCUGAACCAGCCAAGUAGCGUGCAGGAUGACGGCCCUAUGGGUUGUAAACUGCUUUUAUAAGGGAAUAAAGUGGGUCACGUGUGACUUUUUGCAUGUACCUUAUGAAUAAGGACCGGCUAAUUCCGUG